rnacentral:piRNA from 1 species
UGGAAACUUCUUUGUUCAUUCCAAACCUGC